rnacentral:lncRNA from 1 species
UUACACGAAUCACAUAUCUCACUGAUGCCAUAUCCCAGAUAUGGUCUUAUACAGUAGCAUAUAUCACACUGAUGCCAUAUCCCAGAUAUGGUCUUAUACGGAAAUCACUUGUCACUUGUAGCUGAAACUACCACUAUUCACUGAUCAGGUAGCCGGAGCUACCAUUUUUCACUGAUCAGGUAGCCGGAGCAACCACUUUUCACUGAUCAGGUAGCAGAAGCUAUCACUUUUCACUUGUCAUUUGUCCUUGAUCAGAUAAGUGUAGCCAAAGCUAUCACUUAUCACUUUCAUUUGUCCUUGAUCAGAUAAGUGUAGCCGAAGCUAUCACUUAUCACUUGUUGCCAUGGUCCAACCAUGGUAUUUUCCUUCAAUUUAUCUUGUCACUGAACUAAAAUGCUCAACUUGAUCAUUUAUUCAAUUUUCA